CACAUGCAGUCGAGCGGGGAAGGGUAGCUUGCUACCUGACCUAGCGGCGGACGGGUGAGUAAUGCUUAGGAAUCUGCCUAUUAGUGGGGGACAACAUUCCGAAAGGAAUGCUAAUACCGCAUACGCCCUACGGGGGAAAGCAGGGGAUCUUCGGACCUUGCGCUAAUAGAUGAGCCUAAGUCAGAUUAGCUAGUUGGUGGGGUAAAGGCCUACCAAGGCGACGAUCUGUAGCGGGUCUGAGAGGAUGAUCCGCCACACUGGGACUGAGACACGGCCCAGACUCCUACGGGAGGCAGCAGUGGGGAAUAUUGGACAAUGGGCGAAAGCCUGAUCCAGCCAUGCCGCGUGUGUGAAGAAGGCCUUUUGGUUGUAAAGCACUUUAAGCGAGGAGGAGGCUACUUGGAUUAAUACUCUAGGAUAGUGGACGUUACUCGCAGAAUAAGCACCGGCUAACUCUGUGCCAGCAGCCGCGGUAAUACAGAGGGUGCGAGCGUUAAUCGGAUUUACUGGGCGUAAAGCGUGCGUAGGCGGCUUUUUAAGUCGGAUGUGAAAUCCCUGAGCUUAACUUAGGAAUUGCAUUCGAUACUGGGAAGCUAGAGUAUGGGAGAGGAUGGUAGAAUUCCAGGUGUAGCGGUGAAAUGCGUAGAGAUCUGGAGGAAUACCGAUGGCGAAGGCAGCCAUCUGGCCUAAUACUGACGCUGAGGUACGAAAGCAUGGGGAGCAAACAGGAUUAGAUACCCUGGUAGUCCAUGCCGUAAACGAUGUCUACUAGCCGUUGGGGCCUUUGAGGCUUUAGUGG
rnacentral:rRNA from 1 species